rnacentral:rRNA from 1 species
CAGUAGCCGCGGUAAUACAGAGGAUGCAAGCGUUAUCCGGAAUGAUUGGGCGUAAAGCGUGCGUAGGUGGUUGUUUAAGUCUGUUGUGAAAGCCCUGGGCUCAACCUGGGAAUUGCAGUGGAUACUGGGCGACUAGAGUGUGGUAGAGGGUUGUGGAAUUCCCGGUGUAGCAGUGAAAUGCGUAGAGAUCGGGAGGAACAUCCAUGGCGAAGGCAGCUACCUGGACCAACACUGACACUGAGGCACGAAAGCGUGGGGAGCAAACAGGAUUAGAUACCCGAGUAGUCCCUGUCUCUUAUAC